GCAGCUUUGGCCGAGUUGGUUAUGGCGCCACGUUCAGGUCGUGGUCUCAGCAAUGGGGCAAGGGUUCGAAUCCCUUAGGCUGCA
rfam:Protomyces lactucaedebilis strain 12-1054 BCR37scaffold_9, whole genome shotgun sequence.